rnacentral:rRNA from 1 species
CCUACGGGAGGCAGCAGUGAGGAAUAUUGGUCAAUGGCCGCAAGCCUGAACCAGCCAAGUCGCGUGAAGGACGAAUGCCCUACGGGUUGUAAACUUCUUUUAUCAAGGAAUAAAGUCAGGCUCGUGUGCCUUUCCGUAUGUACUUUAUGAAUAAGCAUCGGCUAACUCCGUGCCAGCAGCCGCGGUAAUACGGAGGAUCCGAGCGUUAUCCGGAUUUAUUGGGUUUAAAGGGUGCGUAGGCGGAUUGUUAAGUCAGCGGUAAAAGGUCCGGGCUCAACCCGGGCCGGCCGUUGAAACUGGGGGUCGUGAGAGGUCGAGAAGUAUGCGGAAUGCGGGGUGUAGCGGUGAAAUGCAUAGAUAUCACGCAGAACUCCGAUUGCGAAGGCAGCAUACCGGCGGCCGACUGACGCUGAGGCACGAAAGCGUGGGGAUCGAACAGGAUUAGAUACCCGAGUAGUC